ensembl:lncRNA
GAGUGGGAGAGGAGACCAGAGAAACAGAAGGGGAGCAUGAUGGGAACGGAGAGAACAGAGAAGAUGAUCAUGGUGAUGGAGAAAUACUGGAGAGCGAACAACAUAGUCAGGGAGAAGAGGAGAGGAGAGAGGAGGAAGAGGGUGCUGAAUUAGCCAUGAUCGAGGAGGAAGAGGGUGCUGACUUAGCCAUGGUCGAGGAGACAUGGAGAGAGCAGUGCUCCAUCAACAAGAACUUCUCUCAGCUUCUGAAGGCUCAGCUGGAUGAGAAGUCCAGGGAGGUGACUGCUCUGAGGGAGAGCCUGUCUGAUGUCAUGCGGGAGAAGGAGAGACUGGAGAAGGAGCUGCGCUUGUAUGGAGCCUUGCAGAGGCCCGAGUGCUCAGGGGAGCAGGUGGCCCUGCUCUACCCCCUCCCCUACACCCAGGAGCACCCACCUCCCCCCCUCAUCCAACAGAGACCUGCAGACCUGCAGUAUGGCAACCCCUAUGCCAGAGGUACCGUCGGCCCGCCUCUCCUGUCUCCCCCUCUGUGUGUCUGUCUGACUGUCU